AGGAUAAACGCUGGCGGCGUGCCUAACACAUGCAAGUCGAACGCCCUUGUGAAGGCAAGGGAGCGGCGGACGGGUGAGGAACACGUGGGUCACCUACCUUUUGGUGAGGAAUACCGGCGAGAAGUCGCCGACAAUACCGCAUAUGUUUCGCAAGAAACAAAGCCUUCGCAAGAGGGUGCCAGAAGAUGGGCCUGCGCCCGAUUAGCUAGCUGGUGGGGUAAUGGCUUACCAGGGCUACAAUCGGUAGCUGGUCUGAGAGGACGAUCAGCCACACUGGGACUGAGACACGGCCCAGACUCCUACGGGAGGCAGCAGUGGGGAAUAUUGGACAAUGGGCGCAAGCCUGAUCCAGCCAUGCCGCGUGGGUGAUGAAGGCCCUAGGGUUGUAAAGCCCUUUGGCGGGGAAGAUAAUGACGGUACCCGCAGAAGAAGCCCCGGCUAACUUCGUGCCAGCAGCCGC
rnacentral:rRNA from 1 species